rnacentral:rRNA from 1 species
GAUGAACGCUGGCGGCGUGCCUAAUACAUGCAAGUCGAGCGAACGGACGAGAAGCUUGCUUCUCUGAUGUUAGCGGCGGACGGGUGAGUAACACGUGGAUAACCUACCUAUAAGACUGGGAUAACUUCGGGAAACCGGAGCUAAUACCGGAUGAUAUUUUGAACCGCAUGGUUCAAAAGUGAAAGACGGUCUUGCUGUCACUUAUAGAUGGAUCCGCGCUGCAUUAGCUAGUUGGUAAGGUAACGGCUUACCAAGGCAACGAUGCAUAGCCGACCUGAGAGGGUGAUCGGCCACACUGGAGCUGAGACACGGUCCAGACUACUACGGGAGGCAGCAGUAGGGAAUCUUCCGCAAUGGGCGAAAGCCUGACGGAGCAACGCCGCGUGAGUGAUGAAGGUCUUCGGAUCGUAAAACUCUGUUAUUAGGGAAGAACAUAUGUGUAAGUAACUGUGCACAUCUUGACGGUACCUAAUCAGAAAGCCACGGCUAACUACGUG